rnacentral:rRNA from 1 species
UAGGGAAUCUUCGGCAAUGGGGGGAACCCUGACCGAGCAACGCCGCGUGAGUGAAGAAGGUUUUCGGAUCGUAAAGCUCUGUUGUUAAGGAAGAACGAGUGUGAGAAUGGAAAGUUCAUACUGUGACGGUACUUAACCAGAAAGGGACGGCUAACUACGUGCCAGCAGCCGCGGUAAUACGUAGGUCCCGAGCGUUGUCCGGAUUUAUUGGGCGUAAAGCGAGCGCAGGCGGUUAGAUAAGUCUGAAGUUAAAGGCAGUGGCUCAACCAUUGUAGGCUUUGGAAACUGUUUAACUUGAGUGCAGAAGGGGAGAGUGGAAUUCCAUGUGUAGCGGUGAAAUGCGUAGAUAUUAGGAGGAAUACCAGUAGCGAAGGCGACUUUCUGGACACAAACUGACGCUGAGGUACGAAAGCGUGGGGAGCAAACAGG